GCUCCGAUGGUUUAGUGGUUAGAGCGUCUGCCUCGGAUGCGAGGAGGUCGUGGGUUCGAUCCUCAGUCGAGUCA